rnacentral:lncRNA from 1 species
CUUGAGCCCAGGAGUUCAAGACCAGCCUGGGCAACAUCUCUAUUGCUACAGUAAGACCCCAUCUCUAUUUUUUUUUAAAGACAUAUAACCUAAUAGAAAAAUGGACAAAAGUCCUAGACAAGUUACUUCCUCAAAGAGGAAAUCCAAAUGGCCGGAAAAUGUAUAAAAAGAGUUGCCAAUUAAAAACAGUGAGAUGGCCAGGUGCGGUGGCUCAGGCCUGUAAUCCCAACACUUUGGGAGGUGAGGUGGGAGGAUCAUCUGAGGUCAAGAGUUCAACACCAGCCUGGACAACUUGGCGAAACCCCGUCUCUACUAAAAAUACAAAAAUUAGCUGGGCAUGGUGGCUGUAGUCCCAGCUACUGGGGCAGUGUGUGUGUGGUGGGGGACGGAGUGAGGCAGGAGAAUCAAGAAUUGCUUGAACCCAGGUAGGCGGAGGUUGCAGUGAGCUGAGGGCACGCCACUGCACUCCAGCCUGAGCGACAGAGCAAGACUCUGUCUCAAAAAAAUUUUAAAAAGCAGUGAGAUAUCACUACACAUGCACCAAAUUCGCAAGAAUCUUUAAGUUGGAGAAUAUAAAAUGUAACCAAGGAUACGCUGAAUUGCAGGAAAGGGAAUUUUCAUACACUGCUGGUGGGAAUAUAAAUGGAUAGAACUACUCUGGGAAAAUGUUUGUCAAUAUCUUGUAAAGCCAAAGAUGAACAUAUCCAAUGACCUAGAAAUUCCACUUAGAGGUAGAUUCUCUCACCAAUGCUUGUCUAUGUGUAGAAGAACACAUUUAUAAAAAUGUUCACAGCAGUGCUGUCUAUCAUAGACCAAUACUGGGAGCAACUUAAACGCCCAUGCACAACAGAAUGGAUAAAUAUAUUGGAAUGUGAGUCACACUACACGAUACCGCAUAGCAAUGAAAAUUAACACAUCAGCUACAUGUAACAAAAGAAUAUUACCUCCAAGCUGGGUGCGGUGGCUCACACCUGUAAUCCCAGCACUUUGGGAGACUGAGAUUAUGGCCCUGAGCCACUGUGCCCAGCCAGCAUUGUGAUUUUCUAAAGGCUUGC